GAUGAACGCUGGCGGCGUGCCUAAUACAUGCAAGUAGAACGCUGAAGGAGGAGCUUGCUCUUCUGGAUGAGUUGCGAACGGGUGAGUAACGCGUAGGUAACCUGCCUUGUAGCGGGGGAUAACUAUUGGAAACGAUAGCUAAUACCGCAUGACAACAGCUAUUGCAUGAUAACUGUUUAAAAGGGGCAACUGCUCCACUACCAGAUGGAGCUGCGUUGUAUUAGCUAGUUGGUGAGGUAACGGCCCACCAAGGCGACGAUACAUAGCCGACCUGAGAGGGUGAUGGGACGCACGGGGACUGGGAGUCGGCCCAGGGUCCUGCGGGGGGCAGCAGUAGGGGACCUUGCGGAAUGGAAGGAAGUCAGACCGAGCAACGCGGCAUCCGUGGAGACCGGUGUCGGAUCGUAAAGAUCUGUUGUAAGCGAAGAACGGGUGUGAGAGUGGAACGUUCACGAUGUGACGGUAUCUUACUAGAAAGGGACGGCUAACUACGUG
rnacentral:rRNA from 1 species